GACGAACGCUGGCGGCGUGCCUAAUACAUGCAAGUCGAGCGGACUGAUUAAGAGCUUGCUCUUAUGACGUUAGCGGCGGACGGGUGAGUAACACGUGGGCAACCUGCCCUGUAGAUCGGGAUAACACCGAGAAAUCGGUGCUAAUACCGGGUAAUAUCUGAGAUCACAUGAUCUUAGGUUAAAAGAUGGCUCCGGCUAUCACUACAGGAUGGGCCCGCGGCGCAUUAGCUAGUUGGUAAGGUAAUGGCUUACCAAGGCGACGAUGCGUAGCCGACCUGAGAGGGUGAUCGGCCACACUGGGACUGAGACACGGCCCAGACUCCUACGGGAGGCAGCAGUAGGGAAUCUUCCGCAAUGGACGAAAGUCUGACGGAGCAACGCCGCGUGAGUGAUGAAGGGUUGCGGCUCGUAAAGCGCUGUUGUUAGGGAAGAAACAGUACCGAACGAACUAGGUCGGUACCUUGACGGUACCUAACCAGAAAGCCACGGCUAACUACGUG
rnacentral:rRNA from 1 species